UACGAAGGGGACUAGCGUUGUUCGGAAUCACUGGGCGUAAAGCGCACGUAGGCGGAUGUGUCAGUCAGGGGUGAAAUCCCGGGGCUCAACCUCGGAACUGCCUUUGAUACAGCACGUCUCGAGUCCGGAAGAGGUGGGUGGAAUUCCUAGUGUAGAGGUGAAAUUCGUAGAUAUUAGGAAGAACACCGGUGGCGAAGGCGGCCCACUGGUCCGGUACUGACGCUGAGUGCGAAGCGUGGGGAGCAAACAGG
rnacentral:rRNA from 1 species